UACGUAGGCAGCGAGCGUUGUUCGGAGUUACUGGGCGUAAAGGGUGCGUAGGCGGUUUUCCAAGUUUGGUGUGAAAUCUCCCGGCUCAACUGGGAGGGUGCGCCGAAAACUAGGAGACUUGAGUACCGGAGAGGUAAGCGGAAUUCCUGGUGUAGCGGUGAAAUGCGUAGAGAUCAGGAGGAACACCUGUGGUGUAGACAGCUUACUGGACGGCAACUGACGCUGAGGCACGAAAGCGUGGGUAGCAAACAGG
rnacentral:rRNA from 1 species